rnacentral:rRNA from 1 species
GUCGAACGAAGCGCUUAAGAACGAUUCUUCGGAUGAUGUCUUUUGUGACUGAGUGGCGGACGGGUGAGUAACGCGUGGGUAACCUGCCUCACACAGGGGGAUAACAGUUGGAAACGACCGCUAAUACCGCAUAACCCGCUGGUAUCGCAUGAUACUGACGGAAAAGAUUUAUCGGUGUGAGAUGGACCCGCGUCUGAUUAGCCAGUUGGCAGGGUAACGGCCUACCAAAGCGACGAUCAGUAGCCGGCCUGAGAGGGUGAACGGCCACAUUGGGACUGAGACACGGCCCAAACUCCUACGGGAGGCAGCAGUGGGGAAUAUUGCACAAUGGGGGAAACCCUGAUGCAGCGACGCCGCGUGAGUGAAGAAGUAUUUCGGUAUGUAAAGCUCUAUCAUCAGGGAAGAAAAUGACGGUACCUGACCAAGAAGCCCCGGCUAACUACGUGCCAGCAGCCGCGGUAAUACGUAGGGGGCAAGCGUUAUCCGGAUUUACUGGGUGUAAAGGGAGCGUAGACGGUUGUGCAAGUCAGAAGUGAAAGCCCGGGGCUCAACUCCGGGACUUGCUUUUGAAACUGUUGAAACUGGAGUGCCGGGGCGGUCCGCGGCCUUCCUGGUGUNGCGGUGNNNUGCGUUGUUUUCGGGAGGNNCCCCCGUGGCGNGGCGGCUUNCUGGNCUUNNCUGNGUUGNGCUCGAGCGUGGGACCCUUAGGGAANAACCNNNNAUCCACACCNAAACACCCUUUAUGACUGUCGGGGACAAAGUCCUUCGGUGCCGCAGCAAACGCAGUAAAUAUUCCACCUGGGGAGUACGUUCGCAAGAAUGAAACUCAAAGGAUUUGACGGGGACCCGCACAAGCGGUGGAGCGGGUGGUAAAAAAAAAAGCAACGCGAAGAACCUUACCAGGUCUUGACAUCCCUCUGAACGGAGCGUAAAAAAUCCUUUCCUUCGGGACAGAGGAGACAGGUGGUGCAUGGUUGUCGUCAGCUCGUGUCGUGAGAUGUUGGGUUAAGUCCCGCAACGAGCGCAACCCUUACCUUCAGUAGCCAGCGAGUGAAGUCGGGCACUCUGGAGGGACUGCCAGGGACAACUUGGAGGAAGGUGGGGAUGACGUCAAAUCAUCAUGCCCCUUAUGAUCUGGGCUACACACGUGCUAUUUUGGGAAAAACAAAGGGAAGCGACCAUGUGAAUGCGAGCAAAUCUCAAAAAUAACGUCUCAGUUCGGAUUGUUUUUUAAAGACUCGACUACAUGAAGCUGGAAUCGCUAGUAAU